UACGGGGGGGGCAAGCGUUGGUUCGGAAUUACUGGGCGUAAAGGGCUCGUUAGGGUCGGCCAACUAAGUCGGACGGUGAAAUCCCCAGGCUCAACCUGGGAACUGACGUCCGAUACUGGAUGGCUUGAAUCCGGGAGAGGGAUGCAUGAAUUCCAGGUGUAGCGGGUGAAAUGCGUAGAUAGUCUGGAAGGAACACCGGUGGCGAAGGCGGCUUCCUGGACCGAC
rnacentral:rRNA from 1 species